rnacentral:rRNA from 1 species
UACGUAGGGUGCAAGCGUUACUCGGAAUUACUGGGCGUAAAGCGCACGUAGGCGGCUUUGUAAGUUAGAGGUGAAAGCCCAGGGCUCAACCCUGGAAUUGCCUUUAAGACUGCAUCGCUUGAACAUCGGAGAGGUAAGUGGAAUUCCGAGUGUAGAGGUGAAAUUCGUAGAUAUUCGGAAGAACACCAGUGGCGAAGGCGACUUACUGGACGAUUGUUGACGCUGAGGUGCGAAAGCGUGGGGAGCAAACAGG